CACAAGGUCAGGAGUUCAAGACCAGCCUGGCCAACAUGGUGAAACCCCAUCUCUACUAAAGAGGCUAACUUGUUAUUUUUCACAAGACUAAUUUCCCCAAAUCCAGUUUCCUUUUACACAAGACUAAUUUCCUUCUCCCAGUUUCCAUACUGGGAGAAGGGUCCAUGGCGCUGGCCCUGACGUGUGACAUGAGCCCCUGCAGUACCCACUCUGAUUCAAAACUUCUGUGAGGGAAGGCGCUGGUCCAGGGACCAUAUUCAGGUCCCUGUUGGGUUAAUCACCUCUGCAUUGGGUCUGUUUAGAUGCUUCUAGUCAAAGCCUGAUGAGCCCAACGCUGGCCUCCCCACACCGAGCUCCCUUUUCCUGCGAAGGGAACUGAUCAGGCCCAGGCCUGGCUAGGCAGGGUGGGUUGCCAUCCAGGUCUUUGCCCUUUCUAAUGACAUGAGAGCUCCAAACUCCCACUGGGAGACAGGCCUGCUGUCCACAACCCUCUCCAAGAAUGCACUCUCCCAUGGGAAAGGGCAUGGGCCCUUCCACCCUGAGCCCCCAAGAGAGGCGCAGACAGUCACAGGAGGGUAAAGAACGGUCCCCAUACUAUAAAUAUUUCUCAAACGUCUCCUGUAAAUCUCCAGAUGUGUCAUCAGGGCACAGGGAAGAGAUCUUGAAUUAGAGCCGAUUAGAGACCAUAUUCUCCCAGAGGAGGGCAAGCCUGCCCGUCAACCGAGCCCCACUUGGCCGCCGGGACCACCUCGGGAGGAAGCGUCUCCUGACAGCUUUCCUGGAGGCUGCCCCGUACCCUUCCGGGGCGCUGAGGGCUCUGGGAAGCACAGACACCAUUUCCCCUUUGCCCUCCUGCCCUUUGUGGUGACAGCUCCGGAGUCGUCCCCGGGUGUGCCCUCUUCCGAGUUACAGUGGAAACACAACACCCGAACCUCCUCGCCAGCGCUGCCGGCCCGGCUCCGGCGCGGCUCCACCCCAGGCCUGGCUCCCACGUCAGCCCACAGCUGCACCCUAGCGGCGGCCUCUGCGCCCGCGGCUCCCGCAUUCCCGCGCGCCUCUCCGGGCGCGCCUUCGUCCCUUCGCCCCUCUCCCUCUCACUAUCUCACGCAGGUACAGUCCUGAAAACAAUUUCGGUCAAGAACAGAGGCACCAUCUCCAUCCUGCUGGGAAACUGCACCUGCGGCAUUCCUUCAGCUGCGGUGGGGGCUGGGGCUGGAGAGGACCCUUGACCUGGAUGCUCCCACUCUUUCCCAGUCCUGGGAUUCCUUGGUGUGUGGUCAGCUGGUCUGGCCUGGCCCAAGGGUCUACUGCAAGGGCAAGGGAACUCUCUCUUUGCCAGAUCAGGAAAAGCAGCGCGGGGGUGGGGGUGGGUGGGGGGCUGGGGGUGGGAUUGGGGGGCUGGGGGAUGGUGGUUAGGAAUCACUUAGGGUAGAGAAAGGACAUUCUUUUUGUUCCCUGGUGAUUUUGUGUCCUCCCAAGGAGAGGGGAAAGGUUCCUCCUGCCUGAUAGUCCUUCCUUUCUCUAUUUCUGUUCCUGGCCCUGAACUUGGAACCUCCCUUCCUCUUUGACAUAUGGGAGGCCUCCUGUCUUUAGAGAUUCUUCUAACCUAGACUUCAAAGUGAGACAGGAGUUGGGUAGGACUUGUUUUGCAAGGUACAGGUCACAAAGAUCCAUCUGAUAAAAUGAGAUGUAAAAAAGCUGGCCAAAACCUACCAAAACCAAGAUGGUGACGAAAAUGAGCUCCAAUCAUCCUCACUGCUCAUUAUACAUUAAUUAUAAUAUAUUAACAUGCUAAAAAACACUCUACUAGUGCCAUGACAGUUUACAAACACCAUGACAAUGUCUGGAAAUUACUCUAUAUUGUCUGAAAGAGGAAGGAACCCUCACUUCUGGGAAUUCCCCCACCUCUUUCCUGGAAAAUUCAUAUGACCAAUAAACAACCGUAAAAAUAGCCAACCAGCAGCACUUGGGGCUGCUCUGCUUAUGGAGUAGCCACCCUUUUAUUCUUUUACUUUUUUUUUUUCUUGAGACAGAGUCUUGCUGUGUUGCCCAGGCUGGAGUGCAGUGGCAUGAUCUCGGCUCACUGCAACCUCUGCCUCCUGAGUUCAAGCAAUUCUCCUGCCUCAGCCUCCUGAGUAGCUGUGAUUACAGACACCCACCACCACACUCAGCUAAUUUUUGUACUUUUAGUAGAGAUGGGGCUUCACCAUGUUGACCAGGCUGGUCUAGAACUCCUGACUUCAGGUGAUCCACCUGCCUCAGCCUCCCAAAGUGUUUGGAUUACGGGCGUGAGCCACCGCACCUGGACUAUUCUUUUACUUUUUUAAUGAACUUUCUUUCACUUCACUGUAUUGGUUCACUCUUGAAUUCCUUCCUGCAUGAAGUCAAGAACCCACAUGAACCCCAAUUUCCCAAAUUUGGAGGUCCAAAAUUGGGGUUUAUCCUGUGACAAAAGCAGAGGCAGAUGCUUCAGAAGCAAUCCGACUUGGAUGCCCCAGAGUGGUUCUGAAUGAAGCCAUCAUCCACUGGGGCACCUUCUCUAACUUAGUCUUUGUCCUUGGGGAGGUAGAGCUUAGGGCUUAGGGCGAGGGCUGGAUUUGACACAGCAAAAGCACCCAGUUAUUCUAACAACCAUGGGACUCAGCCCCAUGCCUGAUGGAAUCAUAGUCCCUGAAACUCUGCAGAAACCAGUUUCCUAAAAGUGAGAAUUUCAGAGCCCAAGGGGUUGCAUUAACAGGGGCAGAUCUAGAUUUCAUCCACAUGGUAUUAACUUACAUGCUAGCAUAUAAAUUACACUAGGCAUGUAACUCACCCUUAAUUUACUGCUGUCUUUUUGGGUGUGCAGGGUCU
rnacentral:lncRNA from 1 species